rnacentral:lncRNA from 1 species
CACUCCCUAGGUCCCUCUAAGAAACUGCAAGAAAAAAUGCCUCUCCGCACAGGACUUUGCGGGUUAAGAAUGUCACUGCUGUCCCAGUAGAUGCAAAACUAUGCGCAAAUGAACACCCGUUAUUUUGGAGACUGGAUCGUUGAGGUGAAUCAUGUCAGGGCUUUGCACUGGACCUGGAAGCCUGGGACAAGCACACAAAACAUCCUGUGGCCGGGAGGUGCCCCCCUGAAAGAGGCAAAAGAUAGCACAGUGAACGCUAUGCCAAUUUCCCAGUUUCUGCUAGCAGAAGCCCUUGUGCUCUGCGUGACGGUCAGAAGUUAUCUGGUAAACUUUCCAUGGAAAGCCAUCUCCGGACUCCCUCCCCAUCGGUGGCCUCAGAGCUUUCACCGUGACACUCGAGAGAUUCAGGGAAAGCUCUAGAAACGGGCUCCGUUCUCAAUAACAACCCUCUUCCCCAGGGCUCUUGGAAAGGCUGGAUCUGAACAACGCUGCCUGCAUGACCUCCAUUUUCCAGCCUCAAUGAAGCUCCAAACCAGCCAACCGAAGCCCACCCUCCGCACCCCCACCCCCGUGCUCAGGGUGUCUACCCCUUCUGAAGCUGCUCUUAUUUUUUAUUUUCAUUAAUGCAUUUUUAAGAGUGAAAGGCGCGCGCACAUGCACACGCGCGCACAUGCACACGCGCGCACAUGCACACGCGCGCACAUGCACACACGCACGCGCGGGCUCGCACCCAGCGGCGGCGGCAGGUACGGCGGGGACAGGGUGCCCCGACUGUCAGUGCCUCUGAUCCCGGCCCGCCUCGUCCCCCGCACCCCCCCACCCGCCCCUUAUUAAUAGGAGCCCGGUCGCAGGCAGCCUGCGUUCUGGUUUUCAUUGUACAGCCUGCACUGGUGACACAGGACAUGUGGAAAAUUUUGAGAGCACUGCGGUGAAUGGCGUGGAGGGGGAGUGCGAGCAGGGGGAGGGGAGGAGGGCGCAGGGGAGGGGCGGGGAGGGAGGGGAGCGAGUUACUUUUUAGCUUCCGCUAAGUACUUGGCAGCGCGCCAGGCCCGGAGGAUUGUGGGAAGCGAAAGCCUCCCCAGUAUAAACUGCCAGCUUUAAGCAGCCCUGACAGUUCUGCUCCUUCCAAACUUGGCAGCCGUUCAAAGUGCUCUUUCAUUUGAAAUGCUGGAAGCCUGCCAUGUGCAAUGCAGAUUUGCUGUGCCUGUGCGCAGAAGGAACUGAUAAAUGCCGUUGCAGUUGCCAUGGGGACAGGAGGCUAUCAGAAUGGCCUUGUGAUCCGCAGCCUCUCAGCGCGGCAGGCUCUCGCUCUGCCUCCUGCCCCUCCUCCCUCUAGUCAGUGAGAUGGUGAAAUAAAUGUUCUGGAAAAAGGUUAACCCUGCCUGCUCUGGUUCCAAAGCCGAGAGAAGGUUAACCUCCAAGCUCUUCCCGCGGGGGGUGGGGGCUUAAGUGGCAGCCCGGGGCCUGGGGCCCUC